AAAGCAGGAGAGGACAUGGAGAUGAAGAAGAGGAUUAACCUGGAGUUAAGACAGAGCUGCCGGAGGAGGUGACAGAAUUGGUUCUUGAUAAUGCUGGUGUGUCAAUGGGAAUUGAAGCCUGAAUGAUACUUUUAAGAACCUAGAGUUUCUGAGUAUGGCUAACGUGGAACUAAGUUCACUUGCCCGGCUUCCAAGCUUAAAUAAACUUCGAAAAUUGGAGGUUAGUGACAAUAUAAUUUCUGGAGGCUUGGAAGUCCUGGCAGAGAAAUGUCCAAAUAUACCCAUACCUCCAAUCUGAGUGGAAACAAAAUCAAGGAUCUCAGUACAGUAGAAGCUCUGCAAAAUCUUAAAAAUUUGAAAAGUCUUGACUUGUUUAACUGUGAGAUCACAAACCUGGAAUAUUAUAGAGAAAGUAUUUUUGAACUGCUGCAGCAAAUCACAUACUUAGAUGGAUUUGAUCAGGAGGAUAAUGAAGCGCCAGACUCUGAAGAGGAGGAUGAUGAGGAUGGAGAUGACGAUGAUGAAGAUGAAGAGGAAGAUGAAGCUGAUCCACCUGAAGGAUAUGAGGAGGAGGAGGAGGAAGAGGAGGAAGAAGAUGAGGAUGAAGAUGAAGCAGGCUCAGAAUUGGGAGAGGGCGAAGAGGAAGUGGGCCUCUCAUAUUUAAUGAAAGAAGAAAUUCAGGAUGAAGAAGAUGAUGAUGACUAUGUUGAAGAAGGGGAAGAAGAAGAAGAAGAGGAAGAAGAAAGUCUUCGCGGGGAGAAGAGGAAACGAGAUGCUGAAGAUGAUGGAGAGGAAGAAGAUGACUAGAUCAUUCUAGGACCAGAUUCCCUAAUAUUCAUGGGUGUGCAAUAGAGUGAUCACAUCUUUGUUCUUCAUGUACAAUAGCUGCUCCUACAGAA